rnacentral:lncRNA from 1 species
GAAACUAGAACCUAUUGCAAUUCACGGGGAGAUCUAAGGAUGAUCCGCGGUGGUGGAGAUAACGGCAGAAUUUGGCGACGAUCUUUUAAACAAUUGUGGGAAUUGCUUUGGGCGAUUGUGGAGGGUUAAUGGAUGGCUGUGGAAGGGCAGCGAGAUGCCAAGAAUGCUGCUCUAAUACCAGGUAUUAGAACCCUUGUAGAUUCUAAACUUGGG